GAUGAACGCUGGCGGCGUGCCUAAUACAUGCAAGUCGAGCGAACAGACGAGGAGCUUGCUCCUCUGACGUUAGCGGCGGACGGGUGAGUAACACGUGGAUAACCUACCUAUAAGACUGGGAUAACUUCGGGAAACCGGAGCUAAUACCGGAUAAUAUAUUGAACCGCAUGGUUCAAUAGUGAAAGACGGUUUUGCUGUCACUUAUAGAUGGAUCCGCGCCGCAUUAGCUAGUUGGUAAGGUAACGGCUUACCAAGGCGACGAUGCGUAGCCGACCGGAGAGGGUGAUCGGCCACACUGGAACGUAGACACGGUCCAGACGCCUACGGGAGGCAGCAGUAGGGAAUCUGCCGCAAUGGGCGAAAGCCUGACGGAGCAACGCCGCGUGAGUGAUGAAGGUCUUCGGAUCGUAAAACUCUGUUAUUAGGGAAGAACAAAUGUGUAAGUAACUAUGCACGUCUUGACGGUACCUAAUCAGAAAGCCACGGCUAACUACGUG
rnacentral:rRNA from 1 species